rnacentral:rRNA from 1 species
UGGAGCUUGCGGUUUAAUUGGAUUCAACGCCGGAAAUCUACCGGACCGACAGCAAUAUGAAGGCCAGGCUGAAGACUUUGCCGGAUUAGCUGAGAGGUGGUGCAUGGCCGUCGUCAGUUCGUACUGUGAAGCAUCCUGUUAAGUCAGGCAACGAGCGAGACCCACGCCCACAGUUGCCAGCGUACUCUCUGGAGUGACGGGUACACUGUGGGGACCGCCGCUGCUAAAGCGGAGGAAGGAAUGGGCAACGGUAGGUCAGUAUGCCCCGAAUAUCCCGGGCUACACGCGAGCUACAAUGGUUGGUACAAUGGGUAUCUACCCCGAAAGGUGAAGGUAAUCUCCUAACCCCACCCUUAGUUCGGAUUGCGGGCUGCAACUCGCCCGCAUGAAGCUGGAAUCCGUAGUAAUCGCGUCUCAAGAUGGCGCGGUGAAUAUGUCCCUGCUCCUU